ensembl:lncRNA
CUUUCUUGUAGAUAGGAACGCGAGGGCCCAGAGCCCUCCCUCCCCCAUUCCCUUUUAAUUCAGUGGCUACGUAGGGGUUUCUUUGAUGGCAGCUUUGAAGUUGGUGGCUUUGAGAUUACUCUUCCUCUGUGACCUUGACCACCAGCCAUGAGGAUAAAAUGCAGGUACAAAAAACUGGUGAUGACUUGGGUUUUUAAUAAUCCUGAUCUGAGAUGCUAAGAAGACAUCCAUGUGGAAAUGUCAAGAAGGCUUGGGUGAAACUGGAUACCUGAGGAAGGUGGCAAAGAGGAUCAGGAAAGAAGAGAAGGAAGGUGGAACACUGAAGCAUAGACUACCUUCAACAGGAUUGGUUGAUGGUGAAAACCAUUACGAAGCAUGUAUACCUGAAUCCCUGAAUCGCUGUGUUGUACAGCAGAAAUUAUCACAACAUUGUACAUCAACUGCACUUCAAUAAAACUUUAAAAAAUGAGCAAAAAAGCACUCUUUGAGCAGCUG